rnacentral:rRNA from 1 species
CUACGUGCCAGCAGCCGCGGUAAUACGGAAGGUCCAGGCGUUAUCCGGAUUUAUUGGGUUUAAAGGGAGCGUAGGCUGGAGAUUAAGUGUGCUGUGAAAUGUAGACGCUCAACGUCUGAAUUGCAGCGCAUACUGGUUUCCUUGAGUACGCACAACGUUGGCGGAAUUCGUCGUGUAGCGGUGAAAUGCUUAGAUAUGACGAAGAACUCCGAUUGCGAAGGCAGCUGACGGGAGCGCAACUGACGCUUAAGCUCGAAGGUGCGGGUAUCAAACAGGAUUAGAUACCCUGGUAGUCCGCACAGUAAACGAUGGAUGCCCGCUGUUGGUACCUGGUAUCAGCGGCUAAGCGAAAGCAUUAAGCAUCCCACCUGGGGAGUACGCCGGCAACGGUGAAACUCAAAGGAAUUGACGGGGGCCCGCACAAGCGGAGGAACAUGUGGUUUAAUUCGAUGAUACGCGAGGAACCUUACCCGGGCUUGAAUUGCAGAGGAAUUAUUUAGAGAUA